AGGAAAAUCUGUGUCAAAAAUUAGUCCAUAAAGUAAGAAUUAAUAAAGUUGCCUUAAUGGAGUUUCUUCUAGAAAGGAUUUUUCGACAAAAGUGUAUAAAAUGUUUAUAAAAUAAUUUUAAAAUGUUUAUAUUCUUAAAAUAUAAAAUAUUUAUAAAAAUUUGGUAAAAAUGUUCUUAUCCAUAGCAUGAAUUUAACAUCUUUUUGUCAAUACAGUAGAGACAAAUUAUGUACCAUUUCUAAAUACUAGCUUCAAACACUGUUACAGUUAGGAUAGCCUCCUAUGUUACAGCAGAUUAGUUUUUGUAUGCUUCAAAUAAUUUUGAUGUGCUUUUUUUUAAUGUGUGAAGUUGCUUUGGCCUAUGGGUCUCUAGUAUUUUUAUAUCCAACAAGGUUAUCUUUUUUUGUUUGCUUCUGAAAUUAUUCGAUGUUUAACCAUAAAACACUUAUAAUAGCAUUUGAAUAAAAAUAUGUCAUUGUAUUAACUGUGCAAAAUAUUUGCCACUACUUAUUACUGGGGAAAGGCUACUACUUCUAAUUACCUGAUUUUUUUUUGUCCUAUCUCUUUGUUUGUAUUAUGCAAAUCUAUAUUACGAUUUCUUGUGCUUAAUGUUCUUUAAAACCCCAUAGUCUCCAAAAUGAUGUUAUCUCGUCAAGUCCUUGCAAGAAAUAUGAUUAAUAUAUUCUUUAGGAUAAAAAUGAUGAAACCUAUAAGAAAAAAAUGGGAGAAUUUUAUACUUGGUGGAGUAGUAUUUAAGACUGUUCUAAACCUCUAAGUAUUUUAAGUAUGUUAAUUACAAUUAUUAGGUUAUGGAUUAUUUUUUCCUAGAUUACUUUACCUACACACACGUCAUCCACUGUAGUAGUUACUAGAUACUGAGAACUUAAAAUGUGGCUUGUUUUAAUUGUGAUGUCAUGUAAAUAUAAGACACAUAUCAGAUCUUAAAGAUUUUGUGUGAAAAAAUGUAAAAGCUCAAUUAUGUUUUAUAAAUUGGUCGUGAAAGGACAAUAUUUUAGAUACAGCA
rnacentral:lncRNA from 10 species